rnacentral:rRNA from 1 species
GACGAACGCUGGCGGCGUGCUUAACACAUGCAAGUCGAGCGGUAAGGCCCUUUCGGGGGUACGACGAGCGGCGAACGGGUAGAGUAACACGUGGGUGACCUGCCCUCAGCUCUGGGAUAAGCCUGGGAAACCGGGUCUAAUACUGGAUAUGACUCCAUGACGCAUGUUGUGGGGUGGAAAGCCUUGUGCGGCUGAGGAUGGGCCCGCGGCCUAUCAGCUUGUUGGUGGGGGUGANGGCCUACCAAGGCGACGACGGGGUAGCCGGCCUGAGAGGGCGACCGGCCACACUGGGACUGAGACACGGCCCAGACUCCUACGGGAGGC